rnacentral:rRNA from 1 species
UACGGAGGGGGCGAGCGUUAUUCGGAAUUAUUGGGCGUAAAGGGCGCGUAGGCGGCCUUGUAAGUCAAAGGUGAAAUCCCUCGGCUCAACUGAGGAACCGCCUUUGAAACUGCAAGGCUUGAGGCCGGGAGGGGGUAGCGGAAUUCCCAAUGUAGCGGUGAAAUGCGUAGAUAUUGGGAGGAACACCAGUGGCGAAGGCGGCUACCUGGACCGGUUCUGACGCUGAGGCGCGAAAGCGUGGGUAGCAAACAGG